GAUGAACGCUGGCGGCGUGCCUAAUACAUGCAAGUCGAGCGAACAGAUGAGGAGCUUGCUCCUCUGACGUUAGCGGCGGACGGGUGAGUAACACGUGGAUAACCUACCUAUAAGACUGGGAUAACUUCGGGAAACCGGAGCUACUACCGGAUAAUAUAUUGAACCGCAUGGUUCAAUAGUGAAUGACGGUUUUGCUGUCACUUAUAGAUGGAUUCGCGCCGCAUUAGCUAGUUGGUAAGGUAACGGCUUACCAAGGCAACGAUGCGUAGCCGACCUGAGAGGGUGAUCGGCCACACUGGAACUGAGACACGGUCCAGACUCCUACGGGAGGCAGCAGUAGGGAAUCUUCCGCAAUGGGCGAAAGCCUGACGGAGCAACGCCGCGUGAGUGAUGAAGGUCUUCGGAUCGUAAAGCUCUGUUAUUAGGGAAGAACAAAUGUGUAAGUAACUAUGCACGUCUUGACGGUACCUAAUCAGAAAGCCACGGCUAACUACGUG
rnacentral:rRNA from 1 species